AAAGAGAGAGACUUCACCCUCAGCCAUACAGAAAGGCCUUUCAUCCAGUCUAUGAUAUCUUCUCUCUGUGCCUAUAACAAAAUGAGAGCUCCCCACCUACUAGAGUCAAGAGAUUGCUGAAGAAUCUCAGUCUUAAUUUUUUUAAAAAUAAAAUGGAUAGAAGAUUCCUGAGGAUGGGAGGAUGAAUCAACUCUAAUACUUUUUGCAGGGAUCAAGUUGAGAGGAAAAACAAAUGUUGCUACUCUCCCAAGUUCCUCCUAUGAUGACACAAAAAUGAGAAAGCAAAAUAAGAUGCCACUGAAAGUGUAUAGGGCAGCUUCCAGAACCCAAGGAAGUCAAUGGAGAUUUCUACUGACAUCAAUGGAAAUUGAAUCAAGCCCUCGGAGGGAAACUCACUUAUUUUGGGAUUCUGUUUACUGAUUCCGUUACACUAGUAGGACUAGAAAGAAUACUUGGCUAGAAAGUCACCUCUUAAUGCCUGAUUCACUUAGGUUUUAUUAAACCAAGAAACACAAAUCAAAGAUUAAAGGCACUCAGUAGUCUCUGGAGUUUUAAAGGGUGUCAUUCUGAAAGUUGAUGUUUCUUCUGUUUAUCCUUUGUACUGUAGAGCAAGAGCUCUUCUUUUUUUUUAAUCCAUUAGGCAAAACCAAAAGAGCUAUGCUUGAAAACAAAGGAAUUUUUAGCCCUUCACUUUGAUAGGAUGCCAAUAUUAAUAUUAACUUGUAGUUUGGGCUAACAAUUAUGCAUAAUUAUGUUCCACAUUACAAAGGAUAUUGAGAUCAGGCCCUUGUUUAAGCAUUAUAGUCUUACAAUCUAAACCGUAGUAGUCAUAUUCUCUGAUAAAGUGGCAAUUUUUCUGAGCAGGCAGAGAAAUGGCUGACAUUAAUACCAAAUUUGUCAAUUAGUUUAAUUACAUGUUUGAAUCACUUUUUUUUUUGCAUUUAAAAUGAAACAUCAGAAGGACUUUGUACGUGUGCAGUAAUUACUGACAUUACCUAAAAUGUAUUUAUGUAAGUGAAUGAUAUAUAAUAAAUCUGUAUCUUGUAUUAGUUAUAGUAACAAGUCCAGAUGAACUGUUUUGAUCUACUGGGUAAUUUAUACACAUUUUACAAAUAUGUUUUUCCUGCCCUUGAAUCCAGUGGGAAGGAAGGAAGAAAGAGUAAGAGACCUAACUCCAUCCUAUACAAACUUCUAAAUCUGCAACUGGAACUUGGAACCCUCAUAUUCUCCAGCCACAAGCUCAGUGCCUAAUUUGUGCCGGGACUUGCCAGAGCUGAGACCUGGCAUCUGUAGGCUUGGCAGGUGAUAGCCCCAGCACUUCUGGGCAGUGCUUAAUUUGUGCCAGGACUUUCUGCAUCAGUUACCAGUCCCAGUGUGGGCAGCAGGAGAUUCAUGCUGGACACAGAGCACCCUUUCUGCACUGGGGCUGCAACCACUUUGCCCAUGGGUUCCAGUGCCACUGCUUCGCCCACUCCCCUGCACAAGACCAGCAGCACACUGAGCUGGCCCAAUGCCCAGGGCAGAGACUUCCCAGUGCAGGCGGUGAGGAGAGAGGUUUAAGGGUGUCUGUCAAUGCUCUCCUGGAUUAUCUCUUCCCAAACCUGAAGGGAAAACAUUAGCAAGUUACUGCAGAC